GCCCGAAAGGACGGGUAAUACCGGAUACCCCGGGCGCCGCAUGGCGCCCGGGCUAAAGCCCCGACGGGAGGGGGAUGGCUCCGCGGCCCCAUCAGGUAGACGGCGGGGUGACGGCCCACCGUGCCGACAACGGGUAGCCGGGUUGAGAGACCGACCGGCCCAGAUUGGGACUGAGACACGGCCCAGACUCCUACGGGAGGCAGCAUG
rnacentral:rRNA from 1 species